UGAAGGCUAGUGGUUGAAACAUCCGCUUGGGUAUCCAGGGGAUGCGAGUUCAAAUCCCGGUA
rnacentral:tRNA from 11 species